rnacentral:rRNA from 1 species
AAAUAUUAGAGUUUGAUCCUAGCUCAGGAUGAACGCUGGCGGCGUGGAUAAGGCAUGCAAGUCAAACGAAUAAUACAAUUGCUCGAGAUUGCGAUUACAUCAAGAUCAAAGGCGCCGUAUUGUUAGUGGCAGACGAGUUAGUAACACGUAGGUACCUCCCCUCGAGUCGAGAAUAAUUCACCGAAAGGUGGACUAAUACUCGAUAGUCUCUUCGGAGUAAAGUCGUAAGACGCUUGAGGAAGGGCCUGCGGAGUAUCAGCUAGUUGGUAGGGUAAUGGCCUACCAAGGCAAUGACGCUUAGGGGACCUGAGAGGGUGACCCCCAACGAUGGAACUGAGAUACGGUCCAUACACCUACGGGUGGCCGCAGUCAAGAACCUUCCACAAUGGACGAAAGUCUGAUGGAGCGACGCCGCGUGAUGGAUGAAGUCCCUAGGGACGUAAACAUCUUUUGUCAGGGAGAAAGUAAUUGAUAGUACCUGAAGAAUAAGGGGUUGCUAAACUCGUGCCAGCAGCAGCGGUAAUACGAGUGCCCCAAGCGUUAUCCGGAAUCAUUGGGCGUAAAGGGUGUGUAGGUGGUCAGUUUAGUCUUCUGUUAAAAUCCUGGGCUUAACCCAGGACUUGCAGAGGAAACGGGCUGACUUGAGGGUGC